rnacentral:pre_miRNA from 7 species
UUAUAGAGCUAGGUAUGAAAGACCCCCAAAGGGAGACCCUCACUCAAGUCUCAGGAUAAUAGCGGACCCGCAAGAAUGCACGAGAGACC